GCAUUGGCGGUUCAGUGGUAGAAUUCUUGCCUUCCAAGCAGAAGACCUGGGUUCAAUCUCUAGCUAGUCUG
rnacentral:tRNA from 1 species